UACAGAGGGUGCGAGCGUUAAUCGGAAUUACUGGGCGUAAAGCGUGCGUAGACGGUUAUUUAAGUCGGGUGUGAAAGCCCCGGGCUCAACCUGGGAAUUGCAUUCGAGACUGAAUAGCUAGGGUACGGUAGAGGGAAGCGGAAUUUCCGGUGUAGCGGUGAAAUGCGUAGAUAUCUGGAGGAACACCGGUGGCGAAGGCGGCAUCCUGGACCGGUAUUGACGCUGAGGCGCGAAAGCUAGGGUAGCAAACAGG
rnacentral:rRNA from 1 species